AUGAUAAUAACAACUACCAGAAUUAAUUUUGUGGCUAGAGCUUGCUGCUACAAUCAACAUGACUAUGUUUAUAAGAUGAAGUCAGUAAGCAACAAAGAUUCAAGGAAGCUAUUUUUCAAAAGAGUGUUUGGUUCAGAUCAUGCUUGCCCUGUGUAUCUGCAAGAAGUUUCAGCUCAAAUUUUAAAAAGAUGUGGUGGCUUGCCUCUUACAAUUGUGACUAUAUCUAGCCUUUUGGCUAGUGAGCGAAACAAAUUGAAGGAACAGUGGGUGCAUGUAAUGAAUUCUCUGGGCCCCAAUUUUGAGGUGAAUCCAACAUUGGAAGGAAUGAGGCAAAUACUGAGCCUUAGUUACAUAAAUCUUCCUCAUUAUUUGAAGACAUGCAUGCUAUAUUUGGGUAUGUAUCCAGAGGACUAUAUAAUCUGGAAAAAUGAUUUGGUCAGGCAAUGGGUAGCCCAAGGCUUUGUA
rnacentral:rRNA from 1 species